rnacentral:rRNA from 1 species
UACGGAGGAUCCGAGCGUUAUCCGGAUUUAUUGGGUUUAAAGGGUGCGUAGGUGGGCCUGUAAGUCAGUGGUGAAAUCUUCAAGCUUAACUUGGAAACUGCCAUUGAUACUAUAGGUCUUGAAUUAUCUGGAGGUAAGCGGAAUAUGUCAUGUAGCGGUGAAAUGCUUAGAGAUGACAUAGAACACCCAUUGCGAAGGCAGCUUACUACGGAUUGAUUGACACUGAGGCACGAAAGCGUGGGGAUCAAACAGG